AACGAACGCUGGCGGCGCGCCUAACACAUGCAAGUCGAACGAGGAUCCGGGGCAACCCGGUAGUAAAGUGGCAAACGGGUGAGGAAUACAUGGGUAACCUACCCUUGAGAAGGGAAUAACCCGCCGAAAGGUGAGCUAAUACCCUAUACGCUAUCUUUUUUUCGAAAAGGAUAGGAAAGCCGGGUCGAGGACCUGGUACUCAAGGAGGGGCUCAUGUCCUAUCAGCUUGUUGGUGGGGUAACGGCCUACCAAGGCUACGACGGGUAGCUGGUCUGAGAGGAUGAUCAGCCACACUGGCACUGAGAUACGGGCCAGACUCCUACGGGAGGCAGCAGUGAGGAAUAUUGCGCAAUGGGCGAAAAGCCUGACGCAGCGACGCCGCGUGGGGGAUGAAGGUUUUCGGAUUGUAAACCCCUUUCAUGAGGAAAGAUAAAAGUGGGUAACCACUUAGACGGUACCUCAAGAAGAAGCCACGGCUAACUUCGUG
rnacentral:rRNA from 1 species